CAUAAACACCGAUUAUUUCAUUCCUCCUGUGUUUCUUUAUAUUUUUUAUUUUUAGAAGCAUGAUUAGGGUUUUAAUCUUUGAUAAAUAUGAUUAGAUUAGGUUUUUUUAGAUUUUGAAUAUGAUAUUAAGAACCAUAAAACCGCAGUUAGAUUAAUUGAUAAAGGCCUAAUAGCUCUUUCUUUUAUGUCCUUUUUAUGAAAAAUAAAAUAAAAUAAAUAAAUAAAUAAAACCUCUGAAAUCAAUUAAUUCAAAGAAUGUGUUUGGAUUCCAAACAAGAGAAAGAAUAAAUGAUUGCUUUUGAGCAGUUGAGCCUUACACAUGCCUAUUCUUGUGCUUGCUUAUUGAUCCGAACCAAAAAAAUACCGAUCUGUAGGAGCGAACAGUUCUUGAUACAACCUGCAAAAGACAAUUAUUCAUUACAGUAUCAAGCAUGGUGCCUAAAAAACUACUCUGAUGGUUAAGUUAGUAUGUGAAAGAGACGAGAAACUCAAUUGCUUAAGCAAGUGAAAAUGGCAUUACCUUAUAUUAGGUGUUCCCCAUUACUAUUUAUAGUGAUUGCAUUAAAUGAUAAAUACCUAGAAAUUAGGUCUUUAAGAUGAGAUAAGAUAUGAUAAGAUGAAAGAUUCUAUUUUCUAGGGGGUGAUAAGGUAGAGAGUGAACACACCAAUCCCACACUAGUAUUUUCAUAUUGAUCUCUAAGUUUCUGGGGCGAGGUAAUAUACGGCGACCUAUGCUCGCAUUGGGCAAUCUGUUCAAAUGAGCACGCAUCACUGCUCUCUCUUUCUCUAUCAUGGUUAUGUUGUUUCUUUAGAAGCUUGAGGCAUGGGUAGCCCUUGGAUACCCAUUUACUAAUACAUAUUACUGAUAUUGUUAUACUAGAGUGGUAGGGGUGACGGUAAAGGUGGGAAAGUGAUGUUUAGUGGUGGUUAUGAAGGCCAUGAAGAAAGCUGAGCUUGAUUCAUGCUUUUGAAGGAUGGAAAAAGCAAUGGUUGUAUCUACAUUCUUUCUUACCGUUUUAGUCUAAAAGAAAAAAAAAAUUCAUUAUUUUUUCUUUGUUUUCAUUGUGUUUAUCAUUAUAAUUAAGGGAUCAUUACUUUUUACCCUCGA